rnacentral:rRNA from 1 species
CCUACGGGGGGCAGCAGUGGGGAAUAUUGGGCAAUGGGCGCAAGCCUGACCCAGCAACGCCGCGUGAAGGAAGAAGGCUUUCGGGUUGUAAACUUCUUUUCUCAGGGACGAAGAAAGUGACGGUACCUGAGGAAUAAGCCACGGCUAACUACGUGCCAGCAGCCGCGGUAAUACGUAGGUGGCAAGCGUUAUCCGGAUUUAUUGGGUGUAAAGGGCGUGUAGGCGGGAGCGCAAGUCAGAUGUGAAAACUCAGGGCUCAACCCUGAGCCUGCAUUUGAAACUGUGUUUCUUGAGUGCUGGAGAGGCAAUCGGAAUUCCGUGUGUAGCGGUGAAAUGCGUAGAUAUACGGAGGAACACCAGUGGCGAAGGCGGCCUGCUGGACUGCAACUGACGUUGAGGCCCGAAAGCGUGGGGAGCAAACAGGAUUAGAUACCCUAGUAGUC